AAUGCAGGCACUGAUAAAGUAAACUAAGUCCCAGUUAUGUUACAUCUAACAAAUAACAGAAUUUGAAUGUGACAUUUAUCUAUUUCUUGAACUUACAGAAGCUGGUGCAGAUGAUAUUGACAUACUUCCCAAUGGUCUGGCUUUCCUCAGUGUGGGUUUAAAAUGUCCGGGACUCCACAGCUUUUCCCCAGAUAAGCCUGGAGGGAUACUAAUGAUGGAUCUAAAAAAAGAAAACCCGAGGGCUCUGGAAUUAAGAAUCAGCCGUGGGUUCAAUUUGGCUUCGUUCAAUCCACAUGGUAUCAGCACCUUCAUAGACAACGACGACACAGUUUAUCUCUUUGUUGUAAACCACCCAGAAUUCAAGAAUACAGUGGAAAUUUUUAAAUUUGAAGAAGAAGAAAAUUCCCUUUUGCAUC